rnacentral:lncRNA from 1 species
CUUGACAGCUGACAUUAAACAGGCAGAUAAAUGAAUCUCUAAUAUGAUAGCAGGAAAUGUUAAGCACUAUCAAAAACAAACAAACAACCAAGUUAAGGCACUAGAGAGUGACUAAAGUGACUGCUUUAGACCAGGCGGUCAGGGAGGGCUUCUCUGAGGAGGCGACCGUUGAGCAGAGACAGAAGGACAAGGGAAGUGACAAAAAGAGCCAGCUGUGCAAGUCUCCAAUAAAAGAGUAUUCCAGGCAGAGGGAAUAGCAAGUGCAAAAGCCCUGAGGUGCCAAGCGCUCCAUCGUCUGCAGCCUCCUCUUACUGACCAGCUCUCAUCCACUCCUCUCAACCCCGGGCAGCUGACGACACGAGCACUCGGAGCCCAGGCCCCAGUGGCUCUUACCCCUUCGUUACAGUUAUUGAAGGUCACCCUGCCCUCCUCAUACUCCGGUUCCUUCCCCAUCAUCCUUUCUUCCCUGAUAUUCCCUACCCCUCCCUCCCCCCCAAUCCCUCCCUCCCUGCACACACACCCUGCCCUUUCCCCUACGUCUCCCGUCCCGUCCCGUCCCCCUACAUUCUUCUCCCGCCUCCAUCCCACAACGCCCCUCCCCGCGCCCCCC